rnacentral:ncRNA from 1 species
UCCUUCAGGGCAGGGUGUAAUUCCCUACCGGCGGUGAUGUCACUAUGUGAUGGCUUUAAUAGCCAUUAGGGUGCUUAGUCCGCUACCCGCUUCGUAUUUUAUUAUACGAACGGUGGACCCGGUGCAAUUCCGGGACCGACAGUAUAGUCUGGAUGGAAGAAGGA